rnacentral:rRNA from 1 species
UGUAAGUGGGUAGUCCGCACGAGCGCACCUUAUCCUUUGUUGCCAGCACGUAAUGGUGGGAACUCAAAGGAGACUGCCGGUGACAAACCGGAGGAAGGUGGGGAUGACGUCAAGUCAUCAUGGCCCUUACGAGUAGGGCUACACACGUGCUACAAUGGCAUAUACAAAGAGAAGCAAACUCGCGAGAGCAAGCGGACCUCAUAAAGUAUGUCGUAGUCCGGAUUGGAGUCUGCAACUCGACUCCAUGAAGUCGGAAUCGCUAGUAAUCGUAGAUCAGAAUGCUACGGUGAAUACGUUCCCGGGCCUUGUACACACCGCCCGUCACACCAUGGGAGUGGGUUGCAAAAGAAGUAGGUAGCUUAACCUUCGGGAGGGCGCUUACCACUUUGUGAUUCAUGACUGGGGUGAAGUCGUAACAAGGUAACCGUAGGGGAACCUGCGGUUGGAUCACCUCCUU